AAAAUGAAUUAUGUAUGCAUACUGAAAACUAUUUUAUGUGCACACCUUUAUCAUGUGAGAAUAGAGGAGAUUAAUCUGGAUACUCUGGGACUGGUAGUCAGUUUUUAAUUCAUGAGUAGCAGGAAUAGGAAAUUUUAAAUCCUCUAGUACUAUUGAACUGGCGGUUGGAUUGUAAUUUGGCAUAAUAUCAGUAAUACUGAAAACAUGAAUUGUAUAUUGUAGUGGUAGAAAUCACAGUGGUGGCCAUGAGGAGUUCUGCGUUCUGGGAUUUGACACUGUAUAGCCCCUUGAAAGUCAACCAACACUUUGCAAGAACAUAUCACCUCCAUCUUCAGGGUUGAAGAAUAAGGGAAGGCUCUGCUUGCCACGCUGGUUUCUUACUUUGCCUAUCCUUAGACUCUGGAGAUAGAGGUGACCUGUUCUCUGAACCAUCAGUUUCAUGGGCUAUGUGGCACUAUAUCCCAGAAGACAGAGCUCACUGUGUACCGGUAAAGCUUAAUAUGCCGAAGGAGUAGAGAUAUCAUCCAUCAGAACGUUCGUCUUAAUUUUGCUAGUAAGAGUAGUAACAGUGGAGAUGGUCAAUACAUGUUCUGUUCUGCAGGGCCAGGCAAAUGAGAAGUGUGUGGAAGUGGAUGAGCGUGAAAAAGCACAACAUUAUGAGCAGCAGAAAUGGGAGGAGGAACAAAUGUCACUGGCUGUGUUCCAAUUUGGCGCACAUGAUAAAAAUUCAUGAAAAAGAUCAAGCGUAUGACCUGGUUUUGGAUGAUGAAAUUGAAUUUAUUCAGGCUUUGAGGAUGCCAGGCUCCAAGCCAGACCAAGAGGUUGGCUACAGCAUCAGAUUUGAGGAUUGCACAUCUGAGCGGACAGUUAUCAAGUACAUGACUCAUGGAACACUACACAGGGAGUGUGUCUGAGAACCCGCUCUCCAGUCAUACAGUCUUGCCAUAAAGUCAAGCAGUCACAUCCUGUGCUAAAGGAGACUAUAUUCCUUGCUCUCUGUUUGGUAUGAGAACAGCUCUACCUGGUAUGAAAAAUCCACUAAGAGCUAUGAAUUGACUGUUCAGGACCUACACAGUAGUGGACAACACAAGUAAGUGUAAGAAGUUACCGCCAUGUAAUCUGCUUUGAUAACACUAGCAGCCAAAGGAGUCUGUGAACACAAAACCCAAGGCCUAUCCUUAGAAUCUGCCUCAGUGUCUGUAAGGUUAGGCAUUUAGUUCUGUUUUCAAAACUGAAUAUCUCAAAACCUUCUGAGGUUAGGAUUUGGGUUUUUUUUUUGCCAAUAAACUGCCAUGGCUGGUAGCACUCAGCUGAUGGACAACAUGGUGGUACAAAUUUAAAUUCAUUUGGGUCACCUGUUUAUCUGUGAGUAUCGAUUAUUUUCAUACACCAAAUUCCAAAUGAAGUUACAAUUCCACAUGAUGUUUCUUACAUUUUUUAAAUAUAUGGAGGGAGUGGAGCAGGUGAAAUGAGGGAGGUGGGCCCUCCAUUUGCAAAUUUUUAAGAAGAAAAAUAUGUAUGUUCUGCCCUGGGAAAACACACUUUGGGAAGCAAUGGGUUAAGCAUUUCAUUUCUAAUGUUCACAGUGGCUUACACUCCUGUGACAAUGUAUCAGUCUGCCAUGUGCAUCAUUUGCUCCUCAUGCAUGACCAGGAAGAGCAACAUAUGUUGGGCAUCACUGCACCUGGGCAGCUGAUGAGAGGCACCAUAUGGUCAUAAUUCUGUGGAAGGCACUUGAUUGAUACAGUCACAUUUGACCAGUGACAAAGUGAUCAGUUUCACAUCUAGAAUCAAAACUUCACCUUUCUGGCAAGCUGACUCACAACUGCGGACUGAUACAAUUCCUGCAUUUACAUUUAUGCUGAGACACAGCAGAAGGGAACUCUGAACCUCCCAUGUGUAGAAUUUCAGCAUAAAGAUCUGACUUUGUGGAGGCACAGUGCAAUGUCUUGCUCUCCUACCACACCCUCCAGUGCACAAUGCUUGCUGGCCCAGGCCUUGGUGGAAGGGAAAACAUGUGCAACAGGGGAGAGUGAGGGAAGGAGAAGACACUGCACUUUGGCUCCAUAAAAUAGAAAUUGUUUAAUCAGAAGAGACAUCCGUUAUUAGGUUGUUGCACAAUAAACAGUGACACAACAAAGGAAUUUGUCAGGCCAUGCAAUGAAACCCAUGGAAGUACUGCUGGGAACAGUGUUCUCUGUGGGUCUGCACCAGUGGUAACUUCAUUAAACAACAGAGGAAUUCUUGGAAGUGGUUUUUUCUGUUGGGUUCAUCCUGAGGCUAUAUUAUGAGGACAAACAGGACAAGCCAGUCAUUUAGAGAAGCCUAUAAAGAGUCCUAAGUCUGCAGUUGGCAGUUUGGAGACAGACCCGCCCCCAUUGUUGUAAGUUGUGUAGCAAUGGCAAGUCGAGUUGUAAGGCAGACUCCAGCCUGCGGGGAUGUAAGCCUGGGAGCAGAGGAACAUCCACUGUUCGACGAACAUUACCCAGAAGCACAGUGAAGACACAGCAGACUGAGAAGACUUACUGUAUGCUGUAGUGAACUGUGGAGUGUGUGAAUUAGUGAUAGCACUAUAAUAUUUAUAGUUAGAAGCUUUAAAGAGUCCAAAAAAUCCAAUUACAAUCCAAAAUCCAUGUGCAGUCAUUUAUCACAUGACAAUAUAUUAAUUUUUAACAACAUGAUAUAAGUAUUCCUAAUUUUUAAUGGUAAAAAUCCAUAUACAGAGAUAUAUGACUCACUCAUUCACUUCCAUCUCGAAUGCAUCCUAAAACUGUUCACAAUCUCUCUUUUAUUUAAAAUGACACUAAAAUCAUAUCAACUGCUAUAUGUUUCAGCCCUACUUGGCCAUCUUCAGGCAACUGUUCCUGUACUGAAACUGUCACACUGCACUAGAUCGUCAGUCAGUGUAUUCCAUGCUACUGCAUAUCGUUCACACUAUAAUGUGUUUGGGAAUCUAAGAUCUCUCGUCAUUCCACAUCAUUUUCCUUUUGCAGCAUCCAUGUUUGUGCCCCCUUUGUAUGUUUGUUGUUACUAGUUGGGCAUAUGCCCCUUCUCUGAGGAUGGCCAAGUAGGGCCAAAGGUGUAUUCACUGAUAAGACUUUAAUGUUAUUUUAAAUGAAAGAGAGAUUGUGAACAGUUCUAGGUUACAUUAGAGAUGGAAAUGAAUGAGCAAGUGUUACAGCAAUGAAACACGAUAUUCAAAUAUAAUAUCAGAGAUGUAUGAGCAUAACACACAUGUAAAGUAUUUCCCUAUAAUUCUGGAGAACCUCUCAUGAUGGCCAAUGCUGGCCAAAACAUUAAAGGUAUAUUUACAUAAUUGUAUACUGAAGUGGUUCUCUUGAUGGCAUUACUAUUCACUUUAAUAUCACUUGAACAAUUACACAAUGAUUCUGUACAUAGCCAGACGGGUAAGGCUGGUAACUGAGGGCAUUUUCUCAUUUGGUAUAGCAAAGGCUGCAUGGCUGAGGUUUCAGUUACUGUACAGGCACAAAACUUCUCUCCUCUCCAGAACAUGUGAACUAUGGGCACCAAAGGUUCUUCCCCAGGUGGGUAAAGCAGCCUGGGCAUUUAGCUGACUGCUCACUUCCAUUUAGUGCUAAGGUCAAGAAUGGUACAGCUAUACUUCCAAACUCUCCUCCAUCUUCAUGGUGUGUUAAACAGACAAAGGGACAACUGUGGCCAUUUUGUUUAUUGUUUUAAAGUAUUAAUUAUAUUGGAUUUGUAAAGCGUGGUACAUAAGUCUGAGUUGCAUUCAGAAGGCUGACUUCGACUGCGUGGUUUAAGAUGUUUGUAAAUUCUGGGGUUGACAGAGACAGGAGAUGUCUUGUGACUAUGAGUGUUGAGGGAUUAAACCAAUGGUGGCGUUCGUGCCUUUUUUUUUUUCCCUGAAGUUUUGGCGGCCAACAGUGUUAUUGAUUUGAAAUCAACGUAAGGAUUUAGAGUGACCAAUUGUGGUUUGUUAGGAAGAAGCCUUCUGGUAGAGGCCACUGUCAGACGUGUGUGACGCUGUGUAGGCCGCAAAAAGAGUAAUAUACCCUGAGUCAGUGAUAGUGUGGCUAGUUAUAUCCAUAUACAGAGUGCAAGCGCAACCCUAUUACGCUCUCCGGGAUUUUGUGAGAGAUAGUGAGCUAAAUACUGCAUUCUAAUGAUCAAAGGAAUAAAUAACCUUGUGUAUACAAGUACUGUGGUUGUGGAUUAAGUGUUAUGCUCCAGUCUAAGUGAGGCCCGUAAAGACCCUGGGAAGGUUUCUCGUGCCACAAAAAAAUAUAUAUAUAAAAAAGUGAAAUCUAAAGGCUAACAGGGCACUAUUAGCCCAGUGCCCAGUUACCAAGUGCGGAAAACAGAAGGUGGCCCGCAGAACGGCGGAGUGUGGAAAGAGUAUAACUACAAUGGGGCAAUCAGUACUACUCAGAUCCGCAAAGAAAAGGGGAGGAGAGAGAGAGGAUGGCUACACACCUUUACCUGUACCAUUUUAAUUAAUAUAGUUCGAAGAUGAACUCUGGACUGUAAAUUUCCUUACAUCACAGAUAUCUGAAAACAAAGCUGCAAUUCCAUUAGAGACCAGUGAAUGUGAUGCAGAUGGAGGACACUCAUGUACCCACACUACGUCUUUGGAACUUAACAUUAACACAGUGCAGUGUGAUCACGUUCCUCCAAGACUUCUAGCCCCUCCUGACGCUUAUGUGGCCAUAGAGUAGAACUGAUAUGCUUCCAGCCCAACACAUUAAGAUUCAGCAAUGUUGGAAAUUCUCUGUUAACGCAUUCAUUCCUGCACCUCUACAAGGAAUUUACAUUCAGGCAUCAGAAUCUCCCAUGCAGGCUUGAGGGAUUUUCAAGGAGAAAGUCUGAGCCUAGCAUCGACAUUCUAAUGACAACACUGACAGCACUUCCCGCAUCUGUUGACAGCUGUGUAUGUGUCAAGCUAUAUAUAGGCUUGCUGACUCUGCCAGCACCCCAAACUGUAAGGCAAGCAUGUUAAGGCUGAUUAGGAGGGGAUUUGAGAGAAAGGUGCCCCCUAUGUUUGGAGUAGGAGGAUGCUAAGCACAUGCUGCUAAAUUGCCCUCAAACAAAAAGGUGGAGAGAAGAAUAUGUAUGCAGGAAACGGUUGAAUAUAAAUGAGAACACAGCAUACAGGAAGAUAAUUAGCUGCACAAAUGUAACUAAGAUGAAAACCACUACAUGUAAAUGGGAGACCAAAGUU